rnacentral:rRNA from 1 species
UGCCAGCAGCCGCGGUAAUACGGAGGGUGCAAGCGUUAAUCGGAAUUACUGGGCGUAAAGCGUGCGUAUGGCGGUUUAUUAAGUCAGAUGUGAAAUCCCUGGGCUCAACCUAGGAACUGCAUUUGAAACUGUAUAUCUAGAGUGUGGUAGAGGUGAGUGGAAUUUCAGGUGUAGCGGUGAAAUGCGUAGAGAUCUGAGGGAACAUCAGUGGCGAAGGCGACUCACUGGGCCAUAACUGACGCGAGGUGCGAAAGCGUGGGUAGCAAACAGGAUUAGAUA